rnacentral:rRNA from 1 species
AGGGUUUGAUUCUGGCUCAGAAUGAACGCUGGCGGCAUGCCUAACACAUGCAAGUCGAACGAGAUCUUCGGAUCUAGUGGCGCACGGGUGAGUAACGCGUGGGAACCUACCUUUUAGUACGGGACAACGUUUGGAAACGAACGCUAAUACCGUAUACGCCCUCCGGGGGAAAGGUCUGCCGCUAAAAGAGGGGCCCGCGUCUGAUUAGCUUGUUGGUAGGGUAAUGGCCUACCAAGGCAACGAUCAGUAGCUGGUCUGAGAGGAUGAUCAGCCACACUGGGACUGAGACACGGCCCAGACUCCUACGGGAGGCAGCAGUGGGGAAUAUUGGACAAUGGAGGCAACUCUGAUCCAGCAAUGCCGCGUGUGUGAUGAAGGCCUUAGGGUUGUAAAGCACUUUCAACGGUGAAGAUGAUGACGGUAGCCGUAGAAGAAGCCCCGGCUAACUUCGUGCCAGCCGCCGCGGUAAUAC